rnacentral:lncRNA from 1 species
UCAAAUGGAGAUUCAUAAAUUAGAUAAAGGAGGACUUGGUAGGCACAAGUGAGCUGAGUUUCAGACAAGUAGCCUUUAUGGUACUUGUGUGUUUAGGAGCUACAUAUCUGAUCUGAACUCAAUACAGAAUUUGGGAGCUAUGGUAAACUGAAUAAUGGCACCCCAAAAAUGUCCAUGUACUAAUCCCCAGACCCUGUCAAUAUGUUUCCUUACAUUGCAAAAAGAUAUUGUAUAAGUGAUUAAGUUGAAGAUAUUGAGUUGUGAGAUCAUGUUGGAUUGUCUGGGUGUGCCCAAUGUAAUCAUGGGGAUCCUUAAAAGGACACAAAUAUCAGAGAUUAGAAGGAAGGCAAUGUGAUGACAAUGGCAGAGACUGGAAUGGUAGGAACACAAGCCAAAAAAUGAUGAUGCUAUGAGUCGUUCAAAGAUAGGAACAGAUUCUCCCUGGAGCUUUCAGAAGGGACUAGCUUAUGGACACCUUGAUUUUAUUCCCACAAGACUAAUUUUGGACUUCUGGCUUCCAGAUCUGUAAAAUAAUAUAUUUGUGUUGUUUUAAGCAACUGUUUUAUGGUAAUGUGUUUCAGCAAUAAUACAAAUCUAGUAUAGGGAAAAAAAUGAGUUUGGUCAUUACAUUUGAUUAUAUGGACAAGAUAAACACAUAGCAUUAUAAGAGAACUACAGAUGUUUAGUCAAUGAUGAAACUUCUUAAUUAAUUAAUUUUUGAGGGGUUCUUAAAGUAUUUCUUUAACAUUGAUUAAUUAAAUUUAUAAUAACUACACAGUGUGUGUAUUGACUAUAAUAUUUAAUCUAACACAACUCUUUACAAACAAUGAUGACAACUUUUUUAUAUUUUAAUUGUGUCUGCAUCUAUCAGAGCUCUGAAUCCAACUUAAGUCUCCUUUUCUUGACUCAUUAUUACACAAUUUAUUGUUUUGUUCUAAAGAGUUGCAGAUAACACUUUGUUUGGACCAUAAGAUACUAAUAUAUAAAAGGAGGAACAUUUAUACAUAGCUGUUCAAAUUGCAUGUCUAGAUUUGAUAUCCUGAGAAAAAUGUACAACUUUAAUUAAAAAUGUGUGAAAUUUCACAUUCAAAGAAAUCAUUAAGAGACGUGAUAGCUAAGUGCAAUACUCCAUCAUAGGCUGGAUACUUUCAGAGUGACUAACUGUUAUGUUUUAUCUUGGACUGAUAGGUUUCCAGGGACACGGGACUUUCAGUGCUAAAACAUGGACAGUCAAUCAGACUGCUCAUACUGGUUCUGGAACACACACACACACACACGCACACACACACACUCACAGGAGAAAGAGGAAGGGAGAGAGAAAAUGAAUAAAUUAUAAAGCAAACAGGGCAAGUUAUGACAAGUGAAUUGGUAAAGUGUAUAAGGCUCUUCCUUGAACUAUUUUAUUUGUGCAGCUUUUUGGGAGUUUGAAAUUAAUUUCAAAUUUUAAAAAAAUGUUAGGAGGUAAACAAAACAAAAACUCUAUUUAGAUAACAAAUUUUUGAACUAAGUACAAAGUUCUAUUUGGUCUGGCACCUAGAGUUUCUACCCAGACUUGCUCAUGUCCUUUCUUUUUGCCAUCACUCCACACUUUGUCUCAGUCCUUUCCACAUAACACAUUCUUCAGCCUUCAUUCCGUUCCAGAGACAGUCUAUGCACUCUCAUCCUAGUGAGAAUUGCACAUAUUGACCAGGCUGAUUGAAAUACCCUUUCUAAUCCCUUUACUCUGUCUCCCAUUAUCUAGUUAAUUUUGAUUCAAUAUUUAGAUCACAGUUAACUUUUUUGCUUCCUUUAGAGCCUGUGAGAGACAAUACUCCCAGAUUAAAUAGAAUCUUCUUGUUACCAUCUCUUUAUGUGUCAUAUAACACUUAUAACAUUGUUAGCAUUUAUUUUUUGUGAUUACUUGAUGGAUGUCUGCCUCCUCCACUAGACCCUAUGAUUUUAAGUGUCAGAAAUAUGCCAGUAUCCAUUCACCAUUUUAUCCUCUCUGUCCAGAACAGCACCAGACACAUGGAAAGGACUCCACAAAUACUUGUUAAAUGAAUGAAUUCUGAUUCACCUGGCUCGAAAUUUCUUAAGGAAUAAUCAUAUCAUGCUUUUGCUCAGGGAGUGUGGCCACAAUAUCUGGAAAUACUGCUAAAGAAGUAAGAACACAAGUGAAGAUUGAACUUGAAGAUUAGGGAUACCCUUUUUGUAAACAGUAGAUGAAAAAGGAAUGUAUAGUCAGGGAAUGGAGACACCAUUGAAAUAGAAGAGAUUUCAACAUGCUUCAAUAUAAAAAGAAGAGUUUUCUAGAAAGGUGUGGCUCUAGAUCAGAAAUAUGAGGUCAAGGGAAAUUUAUUUCUCAUCUCACAUGGAGAAUACUAAGAAGUGUUAUAGGAAAGAGAAAAUAAACAUAUGAUGCAAC